rnacentral:rRNA from 1 species
AUCUCCAAUAGUGCAUGUUAAAGCUGUUGCAGUUAAAAAUCUCGUAGUUGGAUUUCUGAUAGAAGUAUCGAACUUGGGUAUUUGACCUAUGAAUUUUCUAUCUUCAACUAUACUUGAAGAUAUUUGUUUUGGCAUUAAGUUGUAUAACUAAAUAUGUUCAUCUUUUACUGUGAAAAAACAGAACGUUCAAAGCAAGUAUUUAGCUUUGAAUGUGCUAGUAUGGAAUAUUUAAAUAGGACUUAGGUACUAAUUUUUUGGUUUAUGCACUUAAGUAAUGAUUAAUAGGAAUAGUUAGGAGUACUCGUAUUCCAAUGUUAGAGGUGAAAUUCUUAGAUUUUUGGAAGACGAGCAACUGCGAAAGCAUUUACCUAGGAUUUUUUCA